UGGGGAAUUUUGGACAAUGGGCGCAAGCCUGAUCCAGCCAUGCCGCGUGCAGGAUGAAGGCCCUCGGGUUGUAAACUGCUUUUGUACGGAACGAAAAGCCUCUUUCUAAUAAAGAGGGGUGAUGACGGUACCGUAAGAAUAAGCACCGGCUAACUACGUGCCAGCAGCCGCGGUAAUACGGAGGGUGCGAGCGUUAUCCGGAUUUACUGGGUUUAAAGGGUGCGUAGGUGGGCUUAUAAGUCAGUGGUGAAAUCUCCGAGCUUAACUUGGAAACUGCCGUUGAUACUAUAGGUCUUGAAUUAUCUGGAGGUAAGCGGAAUAUGUCAUGUAGCGGUGAAAUGCUUAGAUAUGACAUAGAACACCAAUUGCGAAGGCAGCUUACUACAUAUAAAUUGACGCUGAGGCACGAAAGCGUGGGGAUCAAACA
rnacentral:rRNA from 1 species